rnacentral:lncRNA from 1 species
UUGAUUCUUGCAGUUUGGUCCGUCAACAAUCUCUAGCGUUUUUGGUCAUUAUAGUUUAGUCCCUAGAGUUUUUGUUAUGUACAAAAUUGGUCCUAUAGUUACUGAUAAUUAUAGAUUGGUCCGUAUAGUUACUGUCAAUUAUAUUUUAGCUUCUGUUACUAAUAAAUGUGAGUGUACAGUAACCAAUGGACCACCAACUUUCUUUUUUAUUGCCGCCCCUACUCUAAUUUUUUUUGAAUAAAUUAGAGUUUCAGUCCCUAGAGUUUUUAAUAAUUAUAGUUUGGUCCCUAUAGUUUCUGUUAAGUAUAUAUUGGUCCCCAGAGUUACUGAUAAUUACAGAUUGCGUCCACUAGAGGGGUUUUUAGGUAAAAUUAUAAUUUUGAUCCUGAAGUUUCGGUUAUUAUCAAUUUGGUUUCAGAACUUUCUGAUGUUGUAAAUGUUAUCCCAUAACUUUUUGAUUCUUGCAGUUUGGUCGUCAACAAUCUCUAGCGUUUUUGGUCAUUAUAGUUUAGUCCCUAGAGUUUCUGUUACGUACAAAAUUGGUCCUAUAGUUACUGAUAAUUAGAUUGGUCUGUAGAGUUGCUGUCAAUUACAUUUUAGUUUCUGUUACUAAUAAAUGUGAGUGUACAGUAACCAAUGGACCACCAAAUUUCUUUUCCAUUUUGUCCCUACUCCAAUUUUUUUGAAUAAAUUACAGUUUCAGUUCCUAGAGUUUCUAAUAAUUACAGUUUGGUCCCUACAAUUUUUAUUAAGUACAGAUUGAUUCUCAGAGUUACUGAUAAUUACAGAUUGGUUCCUAGAGUUGCUAUAAACUAUAUUUUUGACCCUGAAAUUUCGGUUAUUGUCAAUUUAGUCCCAAAACUUUAUGAUGUUGUCAAUUUCAUCCCAGAACUUUUUGAUUCUUGUAGUUUGGUCCGUCAACAAUCCUUAGAAUUUCUGGUAAUUACAGUUUGGUCCCUAAAAUUUUUGUUAAAUAUAGAUUGGUGCCUAGAGUUACUGAUAAUUACAGAUUGGUCCUUAGAGUUGCAGUAGUUUGUUUACCACUAACUUUUUAUCCGAUUUUGCCCCUAGCCAUAAUUUUUUUCUAUUUUGUUUUUUUUUUAAUUUUGUCCCAGAUUUUUUUUGUCGAUUUUGCCCCUAAUUAUUUUUUUUCAUUUUUUUAGGAAUAGUAUUUUUUUACCACCAAUUUCUUUUUGCUGAUUUUGCCCCUAAUUUGUUUUUCUGAUUUUUCCCCUAGUCAUAAUUUUCUUUUUCAUUUUGUUUUUUCGAUGUUGCCCCCAUAUUUGUUUUCCAAUUUUGCCCCUAAUUAUUUUUUUUCUAUUUCUUUUUUGGGAAUAAUAUUUUUUACUACCAAUUUUUUCUUUUCGAUUUUGUCCCUACUCCAAUUUUUUUGAAUAAAUUACAGUUUCAGUUCCUAGAGUUUCUAAUAAUUACAGUUUGGUCCCUAUAAUUUUUAUUAAGUACAGAUUGAUUCCCAGAGUUACUGAAAUCCAGAAUGGGUUCCUAGAGUUCGUUAAACUAUAUUUUUUGACCUGACAUUUGGUUAUUGUUAAUUUAGUCCCCAAACUUAUGGAUGUUGUCCAAAUUCAUCCCGGAAACUUUUUGAUUCUUGUAGUUUGGUCCGUCAACAAUCCUUAGAAUUUCUGAUAAUUAUAGUUUGGUCCCUAAAAUUUUUGUUAAAUACAGAUUGGUGCCUAGAGUUACUGAUAAUUACAGAUUGGUCCUUAGAGUUGCAGUAGUUUGUUUACCACUAACUUUUUAUCCGAUUUUGCCCCUAGCCAUAAUUUUUUUCUAUUUUGUUUUUUUUUGAUUUUGUCCCAGAUUUUUUUUGUCGAUUUUGCCCCUAAUUAUUUUUUUUUCCUUUUUUUUUAGAAUAGUAUUUUUUUACCACCAAUUUCUUUUUGCUGGAUUGCCAAGAAUGGGGGGUAUGAUUUGGGAACUAGUUCAUAUUUCUUUUCAUUUUGUUUUUUCGAUGUUGCCCCCAUAUGUGUUUUCCAAUUUUGCCCCUAAUUAUUUUUUUUCUAUUUCUUUUUUGGGAAUAAUAUUUUUUACUACCAAUUUUUUCUUUUCGAUUUUGCCCCUACCCAUUUUUUUAGCCAUUUUAUUUUUUGUCGAUUUUGCCCUUAACCAAUUUUGCCCCUACCAAAUUUUUCCCCCGAUUUGCCGCUUUUUUUUGAGUGAACAAUAAUUCCAACCACCAUUUUGGCCCUACCAAUAAUUUUUUCUAAUUUCUUUUGCCAAUUUUUCCCUUACCCAAUUUUAUUUUACGAUUUUACCCCUUUUUUUACCGAUAAAGCCCUUACCAUUUUUUUUCUAUUUUUGGGGUUACCAUUUUGCCCCUUGCUGAACGUUGGACGGUUUUAACCCUCUUAGUUGAUUGAAUUACUUGCUCGUUCAUAGCAUGUGCAUACUCCUACUAGUAUAUAUAAAAAAACAUGAAGAUAUUUAUAUAUACAUAUAUAUACAUAUAUAAAUAUCAUUAUAUAUAUAUAUAAUAUAUAUAUAUAUAUAGAUAGAUAGAUAGAGAUAGAGAGAGAGAGAGAGAUCCGUGAGAGAGAGAGGGAGGGAGAGAUCCCUUGCUUUGAAGUGUGAACAUUCCUAAAUUCAAGGUCAAAGAAAGGCUGCUUGGCUUGUCCAUCAUUAAUGCUUGUCAGGAGUCUUUUUCAUUCGGAGAUGAAAGAAUGAAGAUUAUCUCAGCAUUUUAAGCUAUUUGGCCACUGUCCAUUUCCGACCGGUAGAGAUAUUUAUUCGACCGGUCGGUCUUGAGUCUGUUUGUGCUCCGACUUUCUUCGACCGUUAGUACUUUUUGUUUUGCAUUCUAUCACCUCUCAAAAAGCUUUUUUUGUCCUGCAAAACCCUUUUACAACUCUUGCGCUAAAUAAUGGUUAAAUAUGAAAGAUAAUAUGUACAAUUGAUGCUAAAAUGCACAAUUGGUUAAAUAACAAUAUAUUGUGUAAAUCACAUGAUGUGCUGGGCCACAAUAAACUCACAGUACGAGUUAAAUUAGGCAUGGCACAAGGCACAGAUGGACUGGGCUCAUUUGACACCUCUAGUUAUGACAUAUAUUUGUGGUUGCCCCUUUUUUCUUCUUUGCAUGCACAUAACUGCAAAUUUAUACUUUCUGCAGAUUAAGUCCUGACUGUGCACAAACAUGAGUUUUUCUCGCAUAGACUAGUAGCUCGGAAUAAGUUCUAGGGGAUCAGUACCCAAAUAUGAAUCAACUGGAACUCAAAUAUCAGAUUAAUUUUUCUCAAUUUAAAAUCAGGGUAAUAUGUCACACCAGAUAGCAUUGAAUCUAGGUCGAAAAGGUAACUCCAAAACAUAAGGUACAGUAGCCUCCUGUUUGUAUAGCCAAGGAUUUUUUUGAUAACUCGAUAUUUGGUCCACUAAACCGACUAAUCCGGAGGGACCAAUCCCACCAUCCGCUAACCAAGAAAAUCCAAUAUCCAGUUGGUAUAUAUAUUAUAGUAGAUAGGUGCCCAUGGUCUAAAUAGAUGCUGAUCCCUCACCCUUGCAUUUGUUUUUUUGUCAUCUUUGACAUCAAUAUGUGACGUGCUCGGUCCUGCUUGAGUGAUUCUAUUUUCUCUCUUAUUUCUUGUAUCUCCUUAUCCAGUGCAGAAAAUCUGAAGUCUGUGGCGUCUCUCUCCUGUUCGGUUUCUUCCUCUUCUCAAUCUUCACCAUCCUCUGAGACUUCUCUUCCCUCUGAGUCAGAAAGGAUGAAUCCCGCUUCUCGAACUUGAUGAGCCACAUAUGACUCUUCCCCUACUGAAGGUAAUGCCUUCAUAACUGCCACCAAUAGGUGAUCAGUACAUGAACUAAAUACUGAGAGGUUUGGCCUUGGAAAGAGGUUGAAUUUCAGUUUAUGGUCUAACUAAAAAAUUGGAUUAUACUUGCUAGAGUUGAAUAGGCACUUCGAUUGCAAAUUAUUUGCAAUUCCAAUCCAGUGAUUAAAUGCCUCAUACUACAGGAAAAUAAGUUGUGGUAGCAUGAGGAAAUGAUAAUAACGUCCUUGUAGACAUCUAUCAGAAACAAAUUUCAGUAUUAACCUUAAAAUUAUUUUUUUUCUGACUGUAAUUCGCUUGGCAUUUAUAUAAUGAAAAGUAUGGUUGAACUAUAAUUAUCGUGGCAUAGUUUACCAGAAACUAUAAAGAAUAGGCAUACCUUCAACAAAAGAAUGAAUUUGAAAAUCUUCAGUAUUGUGGCUUAAAUUAUACAAAAUAAAAACUUCUGCUUCUGAUGGCAAAGGGAAAUAUGGAGCACUUGACGCGUUUUUGUUUAAUUUUGGGACCAUUAUUGGGAAUCGAGAUUGUUGUGCACUUUUCCAUAUGUAGAGGGCAUAAAUCAUAACAACUAGAUUCAGAGGAGAUCUCAGUUGACUAUGGUGAUUGUGUGCAUUUUCAAAUUAGAGGACAUAAAACCAUAACAACUAGAUUCAAGAAAGAAAGAUCUCAGUGACCGAGUGUGCAAAAUCUUACGCAAAGACUAAAGUUAGGAUAAACUCAGGGAAUGCACAAUCAAUAUGAGCGACAAAAUUAAAAUGGUUACAAUAAUAAAACGUAAUGGUCUGGAUCUCGUUCUUCUCGCCAGACAUCACAGUAAUACUCGUUUGAAGCGUUCUUUCGGAAAAAGAGGAUCAAUGAGAUGUGAGUAGAUGCUAUGAGCUCUAUGUUUAGCAGUGUGUGGCAGUGAUGGGAUGCAUUUACAUGGAGAUUUAGAUUACAAGGGACACAACGUAGGAAAAAGCCCAUAAAUGUAGAGCUGCAAGUGCUGCACUGGAAGUCACCAAUUUUCUGAUUACUAUGCCGGUUCAUGGGAAGAUGACGGUUUUCAGACGAUAUCUCUUAGGUGGGAGUUAUUAGAGAAGACAUGAAGGUCCAGUGAAAUCCACUCAGCACAUUGAAACAAAGACAUUGUGCUGUUUGGAGUCACAAGCAUGCCACAAACCUAACUGUAGUUUCAGAGAAACUUGGCUAUCAGGGGGUGUUGAGGGUGGAAAGGGUUGUUGGAGGACUCUUCUGCAAUUCAGCACAGGAUUUUGUGCACCAAAAAAAGUGCAUUGGAGGCAAAACAUAGCGUGAGCCUCAAUUCUUGACUGCACGCAGAGCAACUAUGUUGCUUUUCCUCCACAUCAAAUGGGAUUCAAGGAUGGGCUAUGACUUCUCGAUGUUGAAUUUCUGUCUAUGAAUUCGCUGUCUAUGUUGCACAAUUGAGUGCCACAGCAAAUCCAAAUCAAAUAGGAAGAUGGAACAAUGGAAGGUCAAAAACUUUGCAUUAUAGCGUACACCAUGGCAAUUACGAUAUUUCUGUCAUUAAUAGGGGGGUCAGAUUAGAUGAUAUACAGAGACCGAGGGUGAAGGGGGUGGAAGGGUGUUGGAUCUGUGUGUGCAACUCUAUAAAUUAAAAUGACUGUGGAUGAAGGAAUUGACAUUCAGCACAGGCAUACAUCAAAUCCUCGAUGGAUUCCUCGCACACAGAACAUUUGAAAAAAUCUCAUAACAAACUGACUAAAGAGCAAAGGAUGCUGAUGAGGCAAAAUGUUUAAUCUGUAAAUAGAUUUGCAUUUGUCUGUUAGGCAUGUACUAGAGCAGGAACAUCCAGGUAAAACCUACACUCAAGACAAUGGUAGGAUGAAGCCCAAGCAUCUCCGAUUGAUAGGGUAACACAAGUAUUGGAAUUUCUCGAGAGGGUAAGGUGCCGUUGGAAGAAGGUUGAGUGUGUGUUGAGAGAGUGUUGUGGGUGAAAGAAUGAUGGAUCUCUCGUAGCACUCAAUCAUGAUUUAUGUACAAAAAAAAGUGCUUUGCAUGCAAGAAGUAUUUUGACCCUUUGAUGGGUUUACAGACCAGAACAGUCAACCUGUAUCUUCCUUGGAACAUUCCAUUGGGAUGAGGGAUGUGGUGGCUAAAAUAUUGAAUUGUUUCAUGUGAUCUUCAUUGUGUGGGAUAAACCUAGCACAAUAAAUGUGCAGAUCAAGCUGGCAUUCGGAACAAAUGGAAGGCGUAUCCAGCUUUGAUUAUCCCACAAGCAAGCAAUCGAAUCUUUUUGAAUGAAGGAGGAUCUUGUGACACGACGAGAAAGGGUUAUAGGGUGUGUUGGGUGAAAGGGGUGUUGAUAGGUCCAUGGGCAUUUGGCACAUGAUUGUGGUGAUGACAUAUUUGCCAAGUGGCACAAGUCACACAUUAUACAGAACCCUUUAUGGGUUUGUUGCACAUAGCGGCCAAUCAAAAAUCAAAUUCAUAAUAUUUCUUCAUGACAUGCAACUUGGAAUCAGUGGGGAGGCGAUUGUGUAAAAAUGCUGAAUCUGUUGAUGAUGAUUUCUCAUGGGAAUGGGUGUGAACCUGGCCACAAAGAAUGUCCAGGUCAAAACUUACAAUCUGGAGCCAAUGGUAGGUGAAGCCAGACUUCCGUUUCUGGCAUGCAAGCAUUAGAAUGUGAACCUCUCAAAACGGUAAGGUGCCUUUGCAAGAAGAUAGAGGGUUGUGGCGGGUGAAAAGGGUUGUUGGAUUUUUUGUGGUAGUUCACUACAUGAUGGAUUGGAUGAAGUAUCGGCAAAGUCGCAAACAUAGGCAUGGGAACUAGAGACAAAUUGAUUGCAACCAAAGCAGUCAUUCUACCAACCCUCCAUAUUACAGAUCGAUGGUCAAGGUAUGCUGGUGGCUAAAAUGUUGGUCUCCAUCUUCUAUCUCUUCACCCCCUCCCUCUCAAGAGUGUUAAUUACUCAACUCUUUUCUUGCUUUUGAUUUCCUAGUUCAAAAGGAAUUUCUAGUUAAAUGUGAUAUUUUUGUAGGCUUUGAGAGAAUCUAGACAUGAGCCUUCCCUUUAUCUUUCACUCUUUAGAUGCUCUCAAAGACUAAAAAUUGAUCAUGUAUUUGUGUUUCUGGAUGACUUGACCUGGGUUUGGCAAGUUAAUAGUAUUAAACGAGGAUCGAGAGGUUCAACCUAAAAUCAAUUAGUAAUAGGUGGAGUACUAAGAAGUAUGGAUAUGGACACGAGACACAAAUACACAAUUUUUCUAAAAAUUAGGAUACGGAUACGUCGGGGAUAUGCUGAAUAAAAUAUAUUAAAUACAUAUUUUUAUAGAAUAAAUAAAAUAAAAUUAGAAAUAUGUUUGUACAAAGAAAGGCCUAGUAGCUUAGAUUUUGAAUUACCUCAUAAAAUGUAUUGGACUAAAGAAAUGAGUAUUGUAUCCCCACGUUUGGCACAAUGAGGACAACCCAAUGUGAGUUUAACUGAAUUGGCUGAAUUGCAAAGUCUUUGUCUUGGCUACAUAAGUCUCUCAUGGCUUGCUAAUCUCAUGGCCACGCACAUGACCUAUACAAAGGGCAAAACUAGUUUUUUAGAUUUUUCUUGGGAUAAAAAUGAUUUGUGGACGGAGGAUGUUCACAUGGCAACCGUUUUUUUCAAAGUCAAGGUUGAUAUCAUUACCCAAAUUAAAAAUAUGAGUGGAAUAAAAUUAAAAAUUAGAGUGAAAGUUGGAGACUGUAAAAGGAAAAUACCCUUUUCUUAUUUUUUUUUUAUAUGUUCAUAUAUGUCACGCCCGGUCAACCAAGACCCGGCCACGUAAGCAAAAUAACUCAAAUACGGAAAGUCAAAACUAAAUAAUAAAGAAAUAUACUUGUCUUACAUCAGAGUACAAUUUAAAUCCUUGUCCAUGGACCAUGCUAUCCAUGAUGAUCUAUAUAAUACAAAUAAGAAUAAUAAUCCAAGAAAAAUAUACUGAAUUCAUUAAAUCGGAUAUUCAUCUCCACCCAUUAGAUCUCACGUUCUAUCUUUCAUGAUCAUAGGCUAAUCACCCAUAAAUUUCUAACUUUCUCAUUUCCUUCUAAUUCUCCUCCCGCGAACAAUUUCCUCUUUCUUUCUUUAUUUAUUAUAUAUCACCGUUAGAUCCAACGUCUCUAUCUUUCCUGAUCAUAGGCUAAUCACACCAUAUAAUUCUCAAUUUUCCAUUCCUCUAAUUCCAUCCCAGACGCACAAUUUCUCUCUUUCUUCUUUAAUUUCUUAUUUUUUAUUUUAAUUUAUUUUAUUAUUAAUAUUAUUAUUUAUUAUUCUUAUAUAUUUAGAAAGAGUAAUGAUUGUGUUUGCACAAUCCUUUUUAAACAAAAUAAAUUUUAUUUUUCACCCCUCAUCUUUUAAUUGAUCCCAAAAGUUUUCAUAUUCAAUUUAACCCCAAGUUGUAAUUAAUGACUUGAACUUAUAAUUUAACCAAGUCAUAAAAAAAAAUAGAAAGACAUAAAAUUUAUGUUAAUCAAAUUUUUACCCACAUCGGGCCAAAUAAAUAUACCAAUUUUUUUUUUUGAAUUAAACAUUUAUAAAAAAAAUAUCAACUGGUUCCCAUGCCUACGAAUCGGGAUAAACCUCGGUACCUGCAUUAAAUUUAUAGUAAAUGUGAGUUAUCUUUAAAGAUUUAACAAUGGACUUGAUGCUCCAGCAAAAAAUUCAUGAUACAUAUCAUAUAAUGAAAACAUUGAUUCAAUAACAUAUGCUUUCAUUUUACCAAAAUAUACUUUUGAUUUUUAAUCCGUGAUUUUUCCAAUCAAUCAAUUCUCAUUUAAGAUUUCUCAAAAAAAACAAAUUCUAAGUUCCUUUGAAUAACAAUUAUAAAAAUUACAAAUUUUCAAGUUGUAAUUUCUCACUCAAACAGUUUCUCAAAUUUGAUUUUUUUUCUCACAAAACUUUACUCCAAUAAUUAGAAUGGACACACCUAGGCUAAUACCUAAAUGGCCUACUUCUCGGACUUUCCCCGAAGGUUUGGACAUACCCAAUAUCCGGCUACUCUCGGAUUUUCACCGAAUGUUUGACAUACCCAAUAUCCCGGCCUUACUUCUCGGAUUUUCACCGAAGGUUUUGACAUACCCAUUACCGGACGCAUUCUCGGUCACUAACCGAAUGGCGAACAUUCCCAUCCCGCGCGGUUGUUAUGUUUGCCAUCUAGGACUUUUUCUUUCAGGCUUAAUCUAAGCAAUUAAAAUCUGGUAUAUACUAGCAUGUAUUCUCAAAACAUUUUCCAGAUCCAAAUACAUAAAAUUUACACUGCUAACAGCCUUUAAUGUAAAAUAAUAGAAAUAUACAAAAUAUAUAAUCAUCAACACAAUCUAUAUAAAAUCCCAACAAGUAACCCUCGUUUACCAUUUCAUUAUAAAUUAAAGUUUCUCCAUUUUAAGUUUAAUAUUCAAAAUAAUGUUUAUAGACUUUGAUAUAAGCUAUUAACAACAAACCCAAAGUAAAACCCCAACAAAUAACCCCCUUUACUCCCAAUAAAUUACAAGCACUCCAAAAUUGAAGGACGAUGAGAUAAUCCAAAAUACUCCGAUCUCUGAUAUUAUAGCUCAAUAUGAAACCCUAGUGAGUGAUAAUUUAUCUCUGAUUUAUCACCCGCUUGAACACACUCACUCACCCCGAUCUAACACUCUAAACACAAUUUUUUUCUUCUUCUAUGUUCAGACAGGCACACGCCUGCAGAGAGAGGGGAGACGAAUGGCGUGAGAGAAGAGAGGGAUAGAUCCGGGUGAGAGAGAGAGAGAGUUCGUAUAGAUAUAGAAAAGAGAAAAAAGAAAAAAAAAAAACAUAAUGAUAUGUUUGGGAUGAUUAAGUUUGGGAUGAUUGGUUUGUGGGGGAGAAGAUGAUGUUGGGAGAUUGUAUUGUGUUGUUUGAAAGGGAAUUCAAACGGUAUGAAGGAAGAAUCAAACAAAGGCUCUCAGGCUUGUUUGGUGUUGUAAACACCAAAUUAACUAUCAAAUUUUGGAUCCAAAUUAAACUCAAUUCUCACUAUAAGCCCAAUAUCUCAAGUACAUUAAAUCCAAUGAUCCGAAUGGGCCCAAAUACAAAAAUACUUAGAUACCAUUAAAUACAUUGUGGUCUAAAUUAUUAUUUAUAUUGUUUAUUUAUACCUAUAUAUUAUAUAUUAUAUAUAUAUAUAUAUAUUAUAUAUAUAUAUAUAUAUAUAUAUUUUUUUUUUGAAAACUUACAAUAUAUCUGAAAUUUCUUGUUUAAUUGGAUCCCAGCCUUGGCAUUAUUGCCAUUUACACGUAAACAAGUUCACAUUGUCAAUGCUUUUCAAGCAAUUUGUAAAGAAAAUGAAUUUCAACUUGAAAAUUUUAUUUUGUAAUGAUCUGAGUCAUAACAUAUGUAUUAAAAUUAGCAAUAUAAACACAUCUACCAUAAAAACAAAUACUUAGGACAUAGAGCUUAUCGAAUACUUAAAUCUGUAGAAGCUAACGCUUGUACGAAUGAUCAUAAUAUUUAAUUGGUCAAAUUCCCAAGGUUUAGAUCCUCUCUGUUUUUCUUUUUCUUUUUCCCUUUCCUUUUGUUUUCUUUUCCUUAAAUCUAUGUGAUUAUGUUUCUCUCAUGCUGCAAUCAAACCAGUUUUCUUUUUUUUUUAUUAAAAUAUUAUUCAAAAAAACAUAAUCAAAAAACAUAAAAAUAGAACUUCUCAAUAAAGAGAGAUGGUGAAGAAAGAGCUUCUCAAAACUUGAUAAAUUUUUUUCUAAAAAUAAAGAAAGCGGUGGAAGAAGAGAAAGAGAGAUUGGUCAGGAAAAUAUGAAAUUCGUGACGAAUGUAGUUGUCCUUUGCGGUUCGUGGUUCAGGGUUGCUCUAUGGUGGUUCCAGAAAGUGGUUGGAGGUUGCUCUACGGUGGUUCUAGCAUUUUCAUUUCGCAUUUUAUGAAGAGAGAUCGAGGAGAAAUCACUUUUGCAAUACUGAAGCAUGAUGGGCCAAUCAUUAUCAUUUCAACUUAAUACAAUAGGUAAAUAAUAAACCAUGAAAUUAGUAUUAUUUUGGGGCAUCAAUCAAUACAUAUACUCUUAGUUACAGAUUGGAAUACUUUGUAGAUACAACACUAUUGGCUUUCUAAGUACAGAGAGAAAAUCAGGGGAAAACAGAAAAAAAGUGCAUGAGUUCAUCACCAACCGGUAUAGCAUCAAGGUGCGUUUCUUCUGAAGGUGUGACACAGAGUGCGUAUUGCAUAAAGCUUGAACAAUAAUUAAGCAAUAAACGACCAUAGCAUAAAUAAAUGAUGAAAACAUAAACCCCAUAGCAUACGAAUACGAUGGUGAAAUGAAGUUAAAUGAGAUCCCGUAGCUCACCAUAAGAAAGACUAGGGAACAGUGUAGUGGUGUAAAACCUUGAAUGGGGAGGGCAAAAAUAAUCGCCGUCACUGAGGCUAAAAAAGCUAUGGUAUUCAGACAAUAGAAAUGGAAGAAGUUAUCUCCGUAAAUAAAACCAUUUUCAUAAUUAUCUUUGAUUGGGAUUAGCUUAAAAGGAUUGUCGGAAGGUAGGACCACGGUGGCAUUAAUGUGACUGAUGCUAGAAAAAGGGAUAAGAUUGGUUGAGGACAUUGUGGCGUGAAUAAGGGUGCCGUUAGGGAGGAGAUUUUUAUCACUUCCGCCGUCAACACCACCUGGGGGCUAAGUACAGCCUGGAAGGUAGCCGUUGCGAUUAAAGCAGCCACCACUAGUACAAUAUUUCGCAUCUCCAUUGGAACAUGUUUAUUGCAUGUUGGAAAAAUACGCCGAACAAAAAUAUUCUGAAAAUUGCUCUCGCGACUUCAAGAAAUCAGCCAAAACUAAAAUUCAUGAUGAUGAGCAAGUGAUGAACUUUGUGAAAACUCUGGCACCACCGUAAAAUGUUCGAAAUUGUUGUUUGGCUUUCUCGGAUGAAGUCCUAACGCAAUGUUCAAGGCUGUGCUGCGCCAUCACAUUCUGAUUCAGUUUUGUUCGCGGAGAUCAUUUUUAAAUAAUAACUUCCCAUCUGCAAAAGCCCCCAGUCACCCAAAUCAAUAAUUUGUUAAUUAUUUAUAGCCUCACAUUUUUGUACCACUUAAGAAAAAAUUAUUCUAAUGGGCACGCUCUUUUUACAUGGACCGCUGAUGAUAUCAAAUUAUAUAUAGUUAUCAUUGUCACAAUAUUUAAUGUGUUUGGGAAAGUAAGCGAUUGUAGAUUUGUAUGUAACUUUGUCCGAACCAGUGGAACACUAAUAAGCAUAACCAAAUACAAAAAGUCUAAUCCUUUCCAAAAUAACAAAAAUUAAAAUCCAUUAAUUAAAGAUAUUAGCUUAAAAAAUUGGGGAGCCAAAUCGGAUGAACUUUCUGUUGGGGAAAGAAUCCGCUUCAAGGGUCUGCACUCGCAUUAUAGUAAGGACAAUUCGUUGGGAGAGAGAAGAAAUCGCAUAUGCCCACAUCACACCAUAUUGGCCAAUAUAUACCGUUUCAACAUCAUAACGACUUAAAAAGCUUAAAGUUUGUUAAGUGAUAGUUUUAUCCUAUACACAGUAAAAGCCAACUCCUUAACCUUAGUUUUAUUUUUAAACGUAUACAAAAAAAGGACAAUAUUUCAAUUUCAAUGAGCUCUCAAAAACAAAGACAAAACUUAUCGUUGGCUUGAACGGAACUUAGUCCAUGAACUUUAGGUUGAGGGAUGCGGGGCUAUUGAACAGGGGUGCCACAAACAUGGCUCGAAAGGGCGAACUGGAGGCGUGGUGGUUACCUAGAUUUUACUUUUGUUAGAAAG